AGGGCACCACCAGGAGUGGAGCCUGCGGCUUAAUUUGACCCAACACGGGAAAACUCACCCGGCCCGGACACCGUAAGGAUUGACAGAUUGAGAGCUCUUUCUUGAUUCGGUGGUUGGUGGUGCAUGGCCGUUCUUAGUUGGUGGAGCGAUUUGUCUGGUUUAUUCCGAUAACGAGCGAGACUCUAGCCUACUAAAUAGUGACCGGAUAGCUUGGUCCGGGUCACUUCUUAGAGGGACAAGCGGUGUUCAGCCGCAAUAAGUUGAGCAAUAACAGGUCUGUGAUGCCCUUAGAUGUCCGGGGCUGCACGCGCGCUACACUGGCGGAAUCAACGUGUUUUCAUCCUGCGUCGAGAGAUUGUGGGUAAACCAAUGAAAAUCCGCCGUGAUUGGGAUCGGAAAUUGAAAUUAUUUUCCGUGAACGAGGGAUUCCAAGUAAGUGCGAGUCAUUAACUCGCGUUGAUUACGUCCCUGCCCUUUGUACACACCGCCCGUCGCUACUACCGAUUGAAUGAAUUAGUG
rnacentral:rRNA from 1 species